ensembl:lncRNA
GCUACAGCUGUACCCCUGCAUACAAAUACCAUUUACAUGCUGGAGGAUAGGGCUGUGAUGAAUAGUAAGUUCCUGGUAGUUAUCUCUAGUUAAAUGCGUCUGGUGUAAGCUAAUCUUAAAUUAGGUCUUUCAUAGCAAAGAACAGGUUAUCUAAGAAAGGAGGAUAGUGACAUAACUUAAAACUUGUUAUAAUGACUUAUUUCCUGGUAGAUUCUGUCUUUGUGUCCAUACUAUUUUUUCUGCCCCAAAAUGCUAUGUACUAUUAGGUCCUCAUCAUAGUGACAGUGUGGGAGGAGCUUUACGAAUACAGAGGUUUGUGUAAAAGUCCCAUUGUUUAAGGGGUAGAACAGAACAAACUAAAUAUCCACCUAAAAGACAGGAAUUCAGCAAGAAGUCAUUCCUAAGGCAAGAGGAAAAGAAGGAAAGAGGGUGGAAAGGGAAUCUCAAUCCAGCUAAAAGAUGGAAAGAUAAAUAAUGAAAAGUUCAAAUAAAAGACGAGCCAUCACGCUAAUUCUUGAUUGCUUUUUGUUUGGGAAGAUCUGGUCUGGAAUAAAAUUGCUCAUGUGUGAGGUUGGUAGCAUGAUUAGUUCUAAAUGACACGCAUGCACAGUCAGUGAUGUUACUGUCCAGAUAAUUUAGUCUCUUCUAGUGUUCAUCAUUCCAUUUCUUGAUGAGCUGCUGUGGAUGUUGGAGAUACAGACACUGACAGGGUAGUAGCAGCCCUUUAUGUCCUUUGUGGGGAGGAAAAACUAGAGUUGCGUAUCUUUGGAAUGGGAAUUGCUAGGGAUCUGCCUUUGGGGAAGGUAGACCGGUCCCAGCUUUGCUGAGUUACAUCUUUCCUGGUAUUGUAUAAAGGAUGAGCUCUGAAAUUGAUGGAAUUAAGUAGCAUUUUGUUCCUUGUGGAGAGAACUGAAGGUCAAAGUCAUCUAUAUUCUGCACCUGUAUUCUGUGAGAUUAAAUAAUUUUGGUGAAUGGAGCUGAACCACUGGAAAGCCUGAGUUGCUGAAACUUUGCUCAUCAUCCAUUGGGAUGGUGGUGCUAAGCAAUGAGUGAAGAAAAAAAAAAAGCUUAUUUGUCUUAUCUACAGUAUAUAUCCUCCUUUGCCGCAAGUAAUAAUCCCAUGGAAGUUGGCUUGAAGGUUAUUAUUAAUGGCACCUAUACAGAGAUGAGUACGCUCUGUAUUUGUGAUGUUUCUAUUUCCUUGCUGAGUCCUCCAAUUAAACAGCUGUGCAGGGAAGAAGGAAAAAGAUAUCACAUUUCAUUAACAUUGGCUUUGAUAUGUUUGGAGCUAGACAGAGAGCUAAGAUGUUACACAUCACUGGUUUAAGAGACCUAGGAGUGAGGUACAGUAUUUCUGUCUUUCACUCCAUCUGGGAUAUAAAAUGAUGAGGAACAGAUUUAGAUACAAUCACCUCCUUAUCCUAUUCUUGUGUGCAGUUGUGGAUCUGUGCCUUUCAGUUCUCUUUUAAAGGUGUGCUUCUGAUGUUAGCCAACACUGCUCGGCAAAUAAGCGGUAUGUUGAUAUUGGCACUGUACAAAGACUGUUAUACUUUCCAUAUACAAGGAGCAGCACAGGCAUUUUCAGCUUAGUCACCGUACUUCCCUUAAUGUGAGGGAAGAAAUAAAAUAUUUGAUGGUUAAAAACGUUUAUUCUCUGUCUUAAGUACCUUGGAGACUUCUUCAGGAGCCUGGCUGUCUUCCAGCUAAGCCGCUGUGCCGACUAGAGCUGAAAGUGAGAAUGCUUUCUCUGUGGAUUACCAUACAGAAGAGCUGCCCAAUGCCUGCAGCCCCAAACCCAUUCUCCUAGAUGAUCCUUCAAAACUAGAGCUGCAGUGGGAAGGCACCACUCUGUGAUCGCCUCAAGGGCUGGAUGAGUGUGCAACCUCAUGACGAAGGAAAUUGCAGCCUUCAUCAUUUGCAUUCAGUGGCUCCAUUUGUAUCAUCAGAAACCCCUUCUUGUGUAUUGACUAAAAGAGCAUAGGAAGCUAAAUUAUAGUUCCUGAAACUCAUGUUGCCCUUGAGCUGUUUCAGAGCAGUUCCUCGCCCCCGUAAGAGUGUACACUGUGUUCCUGGAAGCAGGGCUGUAGGGGAAGCAUAAAAGAUGUCUGAAACAGUUCCUGAGCUGCCCUGGGAUAUAGAAGCUUGCUCCAUGAGCCGUGGAGGACAGCUGGAGAAAGACUUUCACUUCUUGCCAGUUUAAUUCUCCCUCAGAGUUCCCCCC